rnacentral:rRNA from 1 species
UAACUGCGAGUGAAGCGGGAAAAGCUCAAAUUUAAAAUCUGGCGGUCUUCGGCCGUCCGAGUUGUAGUCUGGAGAAGCGUCUUCCGCGUCGGACCGUGUACAAGUCUCUUGGAACAGAGCGUCAUAGAGGGUGAGAAUCCCGUCUUUGACACGGACUACCGAUGCUUUGUGAUGCGCUCUCAAAGAGUCGAGUUGUUUGGGAAUGCAGCUCAAAAUGGGUGGUAAAUUCCAUCUAAAGCUAAAUAUUGGCGAGAGACCGAUAGCGAACAAGUACCGUGAGGGAAAGAUGAAAAGCACUUUGGAAAGAGAGUUAAACAGUACGUGAAAUUGCUGAAAGGGAAACGAUUGAAGUCAGUCGCGUCGUUCAGAACUCAACCUUGCCUUCGGGCUCGGUGCACUUUCUGUUUGACGGGCCAGCAUCAGUUUUGACUGUCGGAAAAAGGUCUUCGGAAUGUGGCACCUCCGGGUGUGUUAUAGCCGUUGGUCGUAUACGACGGUUGGGACUGAGGACCGCAGCACGCCUUUUGGCCGGGGUUCGCCCACGUACGUGCUUAGGAUGCUGGCGUAAUGGCUUUAAACGACCCGUCUU